AGUUUUUUGCAGUGGCAGUAUUGCAGCCAAUGAGGUUUAUCUGAGGGGUGAUUAUUGCUCUUUGAAAAUUGGAAAAAAAAAAAAAAAAAAGACAUGACAUUUGCAUAAAUUCUUUUUUUUUUUUUUGAGAUGGAGUCUUGCUGUGUUGCCCAGACU
rnacentral:snRNA from 2 species